rnacentral:lncRNA from 1 species
GCUUGUUAUCCGGUCAAUGGAACGGGUUAUGUACGUCAUGUUGAUAAUCCAAAUGGAGACGGAAGAUGUGUGAAAUGUAUUACAUUACGUUAAAGAACGGGAUGGCAAGCCCUGCCUGAUGUGGCUCUGGGAAUUCCUGCAGAGAAGAGCAGGGGUGGCCAGGAGAUAGUGAGCAGCUCCCAGGAGGCAUGGAGGGAUCCAGAACCUGGACUGAAGAACUACCUAGAAAUAACUCAGCAGAAUUCUGAAAAUGAGGUCACGCUGGGUAAGAAUGCCUUUUUUUUUUUUUCAUAGUCAAAGUUAGCUAUGGAGUUUCUGUAGUAUUCACUACUCCAGACCUUUUUCAAGUUGAAUUUUUUUUUCUUUUUCCCUAUGUCUGUUCUUAUUUUUUUUAAACUUUUAUUUCAGUAGUGUUUGGGGAACAAGUGGUGUUUG